rnacentral:rRNA from 1 species
AGCGAACGCUGGCGCCAGGCUUAACACAUGCAAGUCGAGCGGGCAUCCUUGUGGUGUCAGCGGCAGACGGGUGAGUAACGCGUGGGAACGUGCCCUUCGGUUCGGAAUAACUCAGGGAAACUUGAGCUAAUACCGGAUACGUGCGAGAGCAGAAAGGUUUAUCUGCCGAAGGAUCGGCCCGCGUCUGAUUAGCUAGUUGGUGAGGUUAUGGCUCACCAAGGCGACGAUCAGUAGCUGGUCUGAGAGGAUGAUCAGCCACACUGGGACUGAGACACGGCCCAGACUCCUACGGGAGGCAGCAGUGGGGAAUAUUGGACAAUGGGGGCAACCCUGAUCCAGCCAUGCCGCGUGAGUGAUGACGGCCUUAGGGUUGUAAAGCUCUUUUCUCCGGGACGAUAAUGACGGUACCGGAGGAAUAAGCCCCGGCUAACUUCGUG